rnacentral:lncRNA from 1 species
GAAAAAUUAGAUGAGCAUUCAAGACAGAUGUUUGUAAUAUUCGAAGAUCAUCCGAAUAAUGAUUUCAGUAGUCUCUUCAACACUAUAAAUUGUAAGUUGGUAUAUAAAUUACUUAAAACACUUACAUUGUUAUCUCAUAUAUACAAACUCACUUACUUUGAAAGUUUAGCUAACCCGUAAAAUGUUAUUACAAAAUGGAUAAUACAAACUCAUUAUACGGUGAUGUUGUUUGUAGAACCCGUAAAUUUAGAUACAUUUAUAGUUCACUCGUUUAUACUUUUUAGUAUAUUCGUUAUCGGCAUUGUAAAGAAACUCAUCAAAUAUUCUAGGCUUUAAAUUUUGAUCGACAGACUCGCGCUUAGUCUACAAAAUAUUCACUAUUGAUGCUCCAAUCAAAAAGGUUUAAAAUGUUAAAUAUCGAACGUAGUUAAAGAGCAUUGUGGACAAAAUAUGGUUGAAUACUGUCUUUUUUUAAUGAUUAAAAAAAAUGGAUAUAAAUUAUGAUCAGUUACUGUUGACUUAAAAUCAUAAAAUCUGUCCCUGUUAAUAUUUACACAUAUUACAUUGUAUGCUUUUCUCUUACUUUUUAUAAUUUGUUGGUUGCCUAACGUCCAAAUGCAAACAAUUUAUGCAUAUAUAGGAUGAACAUAAUUUACCAAUUAAUACAAUAUGUAGGUUCUGGAAGAGAGGCGUCCGGUAUCAAGGUGGCAGAAAUUUAGACUGCCACGAGAUAUGAGGGUAAAUUGGAUAGGUACAGAAAUUUAGCCUUGUAACAUAUCACCUACGGAGUUGUUGCAAGGACUCUUAACGUGCAAAGAGUGUGGCAUUACUCUUCGUGGAGUUAACCCUACAUCCGUUUGAUUAUAAUAAAGAUAUUGAACAAUCCUUAAACUUCAAAAAGCGGGGUAUUGGGUUUAACUCUAUGAUUUUUAUGUUUUUCGACGCUAUCACUCAAACAUAAGUAUUUUGUCAAAAUUUAACACCAUAAGGUAAAGGGAAAAACCACAAUAUUUAUUUUCAGUAUAAUUAUGCAUGUUUCUUUCCUAAAUCAGGAGCUAGCAAUUCAGUGGUUGUCGUUUGUUGCUGUGUAACAUAUUCCUUGUCUUCAUUUUUUUUUAUACAUACAUAUACAUAUACAUAUAUAUAUAUAUAUAUAUAUAUAUAUAUAUAUAUAUAUAUAUAUAUAUAUAUAUAUGGGUUUAAUCCGUAACAGUGUAUAGUACAUUUGUAGUAAAACACACUAUAAAUAUUUUCGACAUGUGAAACUAUUGUCAGCAAUCUUCAUGUCAUAUCUGCUACUUAAUAUUAGGCCUACAUUUAUUCAGGGGGGAACAUAAGAGGCUUAUAAUGUAAAGUGGCUUUUUAAAAUCUUAUGUGACGUUUAUUGGGACACUGUUGAAAGCUGGUUGAUUAACAAUUUAAAAUAUAUAUAUUAUAUAGAUAUAUAUACUGACAAUCUAUGUACACCACUCAUUGUGAGCAGAUGCAGGUGCAACAAUCGAAAAGUGCUCAAAGUAUAAAGCUCGGUGUUGAAGGCAGCACGGUGACCUGUUGUUGUUACCUCUAUGUCAUUUGGUCUGUGGUAGAGGGUUGUCUUAUUAGCUAUCAUACCUCAUCUUUAAUCUGACUUUAUCACUGAAUCACUGAUAACUUGAUAUCGAAUUGUCAAUACUUUUGUGGGAUUAAAUGAUGAAAAGUUUACCGAGAACAAUAAUGCAAAAGUGCCGAAUGUAAUACUUGUAUAUACUUAAAACCCGCCAAAGAAAUAUGAUCUGGUGUUUAAAACUACGAAUUAAAUUACAGAAGGCUUAAAGCAAAGGCUAUUACUUCGGAUCGCUCUACUUGUUGGACAAACUCAAUCAAUAUUUUUGCUGAUUGUUGAUAUUUAAACUGUUACUUAUACAUUUGAAUCAUUGACUUAGUGACAUUGGUUAUACUUGUAAAGAUUUCUGCUUAAGUGGUUCUGUUUAGAAGUGUUAACUAUAUAUAGUUACUAGUACCUUUAAUAUUUUUGUUACUGCACAUUGUAUACUAUUUUAAUGAAUGCGAAUGAGAUAUAACAAGAAAAACAGUGUUCGGGAAGAUAACUCUUACACAGAAAAGUGAUCGAUGAAACAUAGAUUGAUCUCUAAUUGUAAAACGGUGAAAUAUAAUGGCAGCAAUCUGCAUUUAUUUGAUAUAAAAUAUUGCAAAAGUGGGGGAGGGGGAGGGAGGGGGGAAGGGGUGAAAAUGUCACAAAAGUCCCAAAUGUUGGUACAAACCAGAAUUUCAAUCCAUUAUAGUGAUACAUUUUCUGCAACCAUUGACAUUUAUCUAUCAUAUGCAUUUCGAUUAUUUUUUGCAUAGAUUGAAAUGAAAAGUUCGAGGGUCAAAUGUUGGAAAACACUUAUUUCUAGACAUAUGGGUGGUACGGAUGUAAAACACGGUCGGCCAAAAAGAAAAAUGACAUUUAAAACAUGCAAAAAACACUCUUGAUGCUCGUACAUUUGUAUCAACCAUCUUUGAAGGCUAUAUUAUUCUUCGGCUGUCCCAUGUCAUUAGAUUGUUCUUCCAGCAUAUAAAUACGUCCAUGCUCCUUCAGAUUUCUUUUUAAGUUUGCUUUUAUUGUGAUUUUUUACAAAUGUUUGUAUUCCUAUUGAGAACAUACCAUUGUGAUAGAAAACAAUAUUAUCUGAACUUAUAUUGUCAUGGUGAAUUUCAACAAAACAUUGGCAUAUCAUAAAUCAACUCCCAUUGCAUCAGUUACAGAAGUGCAAGAACAAAGUCACAAUUGAAACAGAUGCAAAUUACUAUUUCAAGUUGAUAGAUAUUUUUUUCACUUUCCAGGCAAGCAUAAUCAACAUAAUAUGUACCAAGCUGUGUGUUCAAAGGAUAUGUAUAAACAAUGUUUACCGUCAAAUUUUAUACAUUUGAUAUUUUCAACCUUUGGAUACCAUUGGUUGUCAGAAAGGUAAGCCGUAUCUUAUCUGUUCAUUUAAACAACAUGCUUGAUCUUUGAAGGAUUGUGUGAUUAACUAUAAUAAAUGUAUCUGCUUCUGUUUAUAAAAGGAGUAGGUCCGGUAAGGGCCGAUUUCGGCCUCAAUUUUCAAGUUCAUAUAACGAAAGAUUGUAGCCACUUUCUAAACACUUAAGUGUCUAUUUCAUUGAUUCAUUAGUUAAUGGGGAAGAUUUUAACUUAAUAAAGUCAUUUAAAACGCCCCGAUUCAAGCUUAGAGGCUCGAGGGUAUAAAAAUUUCAGAAAAAAAUCAAACAUUUGUUUUUCAUUACAAAUUUUAUUAUUUCUUUGUGUUUACUUAAUAGUACAUAAUCAUUCAAAAUCAAUUCGUGUGGCCCCAGAUGAUUCAAAAUGUAUCAUCAUUGAAAAGUCCAAUUAUCUCCCUUUGUGAAAUGCCAUUUUUUGGCUCUAAAUUGAAAUAUCUUUUCAACUAUCGGAGACUAUCUUUAAUAUAAUUUCAUAUGUUACUAAAACUAAUAUGUAAAAUUUAGCGAUUUCGUAAUAAAUUUCUUUUUUUUUUUAUUUCGAUAUUACUUAUUCUCCUAUUUUCAACAGUAAAAAAAACACUUUACAAAAAUGUAUGCUUCUUUCGAAGCGGUUGUGAGCGCAAAUAACGGUGACCACUUUAUUUUAUUUCUAUUAACAUAAGAUAAAGUUCAUUUAUAGAAAAAUAUAGAGAAAUCCUAUAUAAAUGAUUUAGACCCGCGAACCCCCUUAAAUAUGAAAAAUCGUUCUAUCAAAUAUGCCCAAAAUCGUCACUUUUCAGAUGUUUUUGUCACAAUUAAAAGUGGCCGCAUCCGUGUUCAUCCUCAACCUUUAUAUAUAUUAUGUAUUAUCAUCAAAUACAACUUACAUUUCAAUAUCAUGAAUGAACACGAAUGCGGCCACUUUCAUUUCAGACGGAAACCGUUUAAAAUUUAACUAAAAUGCUACAAUUGUGAAGAUUUCAGUAAUUUAGCAUGACUUAAUGAUGCUAGUACCCGAUAUAUGUGCAUUGUUUUGUCAAAAACAGCCCAUAUUUAUGUAGCAGAAGCAUUCUAAUUUGCAAUAAAUAUCUAAACGAUUACAUUUUCACAAUUUUCUAAAACUGCUAUAUUUUGAGGCCAAAAAGGGGUCUUACUGAACCUACUCCUUUCCACUUUAUUGCUUUCCAUCAUGGUGGUACGAAGCCAUUAGUGUUAAAAAAAUAUUCUCGCCAUCCUGAUAUCAAUACGCAACAAAUAUCAGUUAUUGGUUGCCUCAUGGUGUUUGAAAGAUUCUAUUGACUAGAAUGAGAUGAAGAAUUGAGAACAUGACCAUACUGGAGUAACUAUUAAAUUCAGACAAAAUUCUAGUCAGAACAAUUUCCUGAGUGCUUAUUUGACUUGAUAUACAAAUGCACCAUACAAAAAUGCAUAUUACUGCCAACAAUCUUUAAGAAUUCUGUCAGAAUGAGAAUAGAUGUAUUCCAUGUUAUAAAACGAAAUGAUAUAGAUAGAAAAAAAUAGAUACGCCAAGACAAUGGUACCCCGAAUUGUACAUUAGACAGGUUAUAUAAAUUGUUGUUCGAAUGAUAUGUGAUGUUUAGGAGGCUUUGUAGGAAAACACGCAUGAGGAUAUCCAUAUGCAAAUAAAUAUUGCAUGAAAAAUAAAGACGGGCUUAAAAUACAAAGUUUGCACUAAGGAGAUAAAUAAAAAUUUUCACAUACUAAAAAAGCCACAUUUAACUUACAAUUGUGAAUCAGAGAAGCAUCCAAAAGCUUUUAAGAAAGCUAACAUGUGAAGUUAAUUUUUUUUUGUAAAUUCCAAAUUAAAAAAAAACUGAACACAAAACUAAAUAUUUUGCUUCUUCUGAACAGACCUUGCAAUAUAGAAAAUGGAAUGUUCAUACACGAUGCUAACGAGAGCGAACAGAAAGAAUUUGCUCAACAAGCCGAGAAGGACUGGGAAACAUUCCUACUCCAACGAGGAAAAGAAUUAAAACGUG